rnacentral:tRNA from 1 species
GUUUUAAUAGUUUAAAAAAAACGUUGGUCUUGUAAACCAAAAUUAAUUAAUAUUUUAAAACA